rnacentral:lncRNA from 1 species
CUAUGACGGAUGUGCAACGAGCUAGCAACGAACGGUUGAUAUCUUGUUGCACAUACGACGUUGAUGUAGAUUUUAUAAAAUAAAUUUCACAUUUAACAAAUGGAUUAUAAAUGCUACAAAAUGUUAUGUUCUUGGCAAGAUCUGUAAAAUGAUUCUACUCAAUCCUGCAUGUCGGAUCUGUCUUUUUAAUAUAGGCCAAUUAAAAAAAAAAAACUAUGUAUUUGAACUUUCUUAUAUGAAGCAUCCGUGUAUAAUGAGAAGUUAUAAUAUAAAACAUUAAACUUUAAUUCCAUCUAUUGGCAUAUUAUGAUCACAGCGAUUACGCUGUAGAGGCAGCCGUUUUUCACCUGUGAUACGUUCAUAAAGAAAGAGAAAUUCAUAUAGUUUGUUAACAUAGGCAUAAAUGAAUCCAUAAUAAUAUGGAGUGAAUACGGAUGCUUUCCAAUCGUCCAAAAAUGUUUAACUUUAAAUAUAUCGUGAAAUGUAUAUCGAAAUCAAUAUUUCGAUAUCGACAGUUCAGUGAUAUUUCAGUGCCAUCGGGUCCAGGUGCUUUAUUGUUUGCUAUUAUAUUAAUGAUUUUAGUGCACUCUUCAAAACUUAUAGUUUUGUUCAGGAUUGAUUGUCUGUUCAUCGGUUGAUUUCGGCAUUUGUGAAAGGUAUUUUUUUGCAGAAUCAGGAUGAAAGAAUUUGUU